rnacentral:misc_RNA from 1 species
UGUUCGAGCGUCAUUAUAACCACUCAAGCCUCGGCUUGGUAUUGGGGUUCGAGGUUUCUCGGCCCUUAAAAUCAGUGGCGGUGCAUCUGGCUCUAAGCGUAGUAAUUUUUCUCGCUACAGGGUCCGGGUGGUUACAUUGCCCAAAACCCCCAUUUUUUAAGGUUGACCUCGGAUCAGGUAGGGAUACCCGCUGAACUUAA